UCUCCUGGAGCUCAGUCUUUAAUGAGCCCAUAUCUAGGAGUAGACUAUCAGUGAAGCCUGGGCUACAGCAUUUGUUGCUAUUAAGCAAAUGCUGCUGGAUCUGAUCGGUAAAAAGCUAUUUAGUUACCUAAGUAAUUGAAUAUAUUGCAAAUAAACCUUUCUUAAAUGGUAAUUAACAGGACCUUGGGAACAAGGGGUGCACUUUAAAAGUCUUAAUCACUUCCCCACUAUUACUCCUGUUUCUUGAAAUUUCUUCAGUGAGAGAUCCUAGGAAGCUGAAAUACUCAGAAAAGCCAAAACAGGCUCCCUGCAGGCAUUACUGCCCCUUUGAUGGCUUCUUGCAAGUAUGAGUGUGGGUUCCCAGUUGGAGCACAGAUAUGGGUGGAGUGGGGAGAAAUCAAGAAAGAGGGGGCACCUGAACUGAACCCUGAAGGGUCAAUAUGAAGGGGUCGCAUGGAAAGGGGGUGAAGGACACUGAUUCUAGACAGGGAUGACACCAUGAGCAAAGUUGUGGCGAGAAAAAGUGAGGUAAGAGAUUCCGUGGCUUAUGUAUAUGAAACAACAUCAGUUUGUAGUUGCCGAAGUCUGAAGUAGGAGCUUCCAAGCGGCACGAAAUGGGGCUGCAGAGACAAGAGUUGGGCCAUUUAGGGUCUCUGGUGCCAGUUAAAGGAACUCUUGCGCUUUUUCCCCUGUGUACUGUGGGAGCAAUUGAAUGUUGAUGUGUUCAAACACCUGUUUCAAAUAGAUUUCUUUAGUUACUGUUGGGGGAUCGGUUUGGGAGGUCCAGUGCUAGAUUUUACACUACACUUGUUAGGGAAAUGUGCAAAAGUUCAGGAAAGAGAUAAGUAGUACCUGGGGUAUGUCAAAUAGGAAUUGAGAUAUAGAGAAGGAUGCAGAUUUGAGGUAUACUUUGUAAGGUAAAAUUAGGAAGACUUGGGGACUGAGUGAUAGAUGUUUUAAAUGGGAGGCAGAGAGAGAAGUCUACACUGUAUUAUGGGUCCUGGCUUGGGUGUUCGUGGGAGAUGGUGGUGCCUCUUGAGAAUACGGGAGGAUAAUAAGUUCAUUAUAUUUGGGUUGUUCCCAGUUUUGGGCAAUUCCACAUAAAGCUGUUACGAACAUCGACGUAUAAGAUUUUGUGUGAAUGUAAGUUUUCUUUUCCCUGGGGUAAAUACCCAGGAGUGAGAUUGUUGGGCUAUAAGGCCCUAGCUUCAAUUUGCAUUUUCCUACUGGUUACCGAUGUUGUUGUUAUGGUCGCUUGCAACCCCUAUGCCUCAAAUUCCUCUUUGAGUGUUCAGUGAUGGUGGGCGCUGGGGCGUGGGGUGUUCUAAUAAUCCAUUCUCUCCCGUCAUCUGCAUCUGCAUUCCUGUAACACUGCUGCCUCUUGUUGCUCAGUGCUUGCUAAGCUGCUGGCUGGAGGGUUCUACUUUGCCUGAGCUCAGCCUCUUAUAUCCACCUGUGCAUCUGGGCCGUGGGGUUGGGACCUUCUCAGCACUCCAGUUGCUUCUCCACCAUGACUGUCGAACUUCUGCUUUAUAUCUAUGUGGACUCUCUAAAUGGAACAAGAUUUGAAGACUUUAUGUAAAAAUUUGUUUAUUGAUGGCAUUUGCAUUACCCAACCUGUCAGGUACUUAACUGCCAAUUAAAAUUAUUUCUCAAAACGGUAAGUUCUUGUGUUUCUAAGUUUUAGACUCAUUUUGCAAUACUAAUAUGAUCCUGGCACUGUGCCCUUCACCAAGAUUAAGUACAGGCUGAGCUUAAUGGCCCAAACUGUCAACUCCACAGCUCUUUAUUAAUCCUGAGAAAGUGGCCCGCACCUCAGUCAUUACUGCUCAAUUAGGUAAAUAACCAUCACAUCCAUUCUCAUCAGACCACUCUCUUCACAGAAAGCUGUUCCUGAGAUGUUCAGUUAGUCUUAAUAAGUCAUGAAUGUCGCUAGUGCCUCCCUUUUUCCAUUGGUCCACCGAACAAAUAAAAAUCAUGUGCCUGAUUAAAGGAACACAAGUCAUCCUGAAACCUAUUCUCUGCUUCCAUUGUGUGCAAAGGCAAGAAUCUCAACACUUGAGGCCAACUGGCCAGUGUGGGUCAUUGGUAUUGCUGGGUGGUGAAGAACUCUUAUAUUCAUAUGUGUAAACAUCAGGUUCAGCAAGAGCAUAUGUUUCCUUGAAGUGAGGACAAAUAAGGCACUGAGUCACUGCCAUUUCUCCUCCUCACUCCACUUUAGGGGGAAACUUCUGGAGGCAUGACAGUACAUCAUCACCAUUGCACAACGUGAGGAUCAAACUGACUCUGGGUGUAAAUACAAGACAUGGACAACUUGUUUCCUCCUUUACUGAGAGUUUGCUUUCCUAGUGCAGGACGACUAUAGACACUCAGAAAAAUCACAGAAUCUUAGAGAAGCUGGGACACUAUCACUGAACCAACAUACGGACUUCUGCAUGUGAUAAGGAUUAACCUCCAUCAACAGUGGAGACCAGAUUAAAUUGAGUAAAGCACACAAAGCAUGUAUCUCGGUGCCGGUCACAAAGGAGGCUUUGAAUGCAUGGUCCCUGCUCUGCUCACUUCCCCAAGAGAGAAAUGAAGUGAUAAGAAUUUAAGUAACGUGUUGAAAGCCACGCAAAUGAUAAGCACCGGAGCCAGGACUCACACCCAGGAUUGAGAAGAAAUUUGGGGAAGAGAGAGCCUAAGAGUCAGACAAUGAAGAGACUCUGAGCAGCUGAUGGAGACUUUGGGAGAGGCUUUCCCCGUCACCUGCUCUGAAUCUGGACUUCUAUAACAUAACUUCUUCAAUCUCAGGUCUUCAGUUCUGUUCCAACUCUCCACUGGCUAUGGAAUUUCAGUUAAGUUUUUAAAUUUUUUAAGUUUAUUUUUAAACAUUCUAUAUUAUUGCUGUGGUUUCUAAACUACUGCAUAUCUGCAUACGCCAUUUUGUUACCUUCACACACAAAAGGUAACCUGGCAGCCUCUGAAGUCCCUGGGCCAUGAAAUAUUCCCUUAAGACUUUAUAAGUCUCAGGGCACCUGGGUGGCUCAGUUGAUUGAGCAUCGGACUUCAGCUCAGGUCAUGAUCUUGCACUCCAUGAGUUCGAGCCCUGUG